UGGAAAAGAAAACAUACAGAGUGAGAACAGUGAUCAACGCUGUUUCUGCAUCUGUUGUAACAGGAAGCAAAGUUUUGCAAUUGAAGGCAAUUUAGGGAAAGGUUCCAAGGGCAAAGUUUCUGGCCUAUACUACAUGACAUGGGAACCAGAGGAGUAAUUGGGGACAGGUGGUCCAUGAGAAUUCUUUGGGCUUGUGCUUUUGGAAGUGCCGUCAGCCUGUAUAUGGUUGCUGUAGAAAGGCAAAAACAGAACAGGGAGAGGAUGCUGGCUGAAGAAUUGAGGGCAAUGGAGUUAGGGGAAAACAAUGGUGAAAUGGCUGAACUGUGUUACACUAUGAUUAUUUGAAAAAUAUUAGUAUCAUAUUGCAGAUGCAGAAUUUCAGAUUUCUGAAAGGUGUUUCUCCUUAUGAUGUAAAAGGUUUCUGCAUUCAUCCUCUGCCCAUUUGCUUAUGGUAUAAUUUCUUUAAGGAUUGAGCAUUUUCCGGUGGGAAAUAUUCAAGUAGAUUUUCAUUUCAAUUUUCGAAUGUGUUAUGGAAAGGCAGCUUUAUGACUACGUUUUUAACAUUUUAGCAAAUAAACUUGGUAAGUCACUUUUAAGCUCUACGUUUGUUUCAUGGUUU